rnacentral:rRNA from 1 species
CCCGAAAGGGUCGGGUGCCCGCAAGGGAGCGUGGAGACAGGUGGUGCAUGGCUGUCGUCAGCUCGUGUCGUGAGAUGUUGGGUUAAGUCCCGCAACGAGCGCAACCCUCACCCCUUGUUGCCACCGGGUAAUGCCGAGCACUCUAGGGGAACUGCUAGCGUUAAGCUGGAGGAAGGCGAGGAUGACGUCAAGUCAUCAUGCCCCUUACGCCCUGGGCUACACACGUGCUACAAUGGGGUCGACAAAGAGAUGCAAAGCCGCGAGGUAGAGCAAAACUCAAAAACGGCCUCUAAGUUCAGAUUGCAGUCUGCAACUCGACUGCAUGAAGGAGGAAUCGCUAGUAAUCGCGCAUCAGCACGGCGCGGUGAAUACGUUCCCGGGCCUUGUACACACCGCCCGUCACACCACGAAAGCCGG